CUUGGCUUGCUUUGUGACUUUCAGCAAGUCACUAUCCCUCCCUAAGCCUCAGUUUUUCUUGCCUGCAAAAUGGGACUGUGCCACCAUCACAGAGUUAAAAACCGGAGGGCCCUAUGGAGAGACCUGUCA